rnacentral:rRNA from 1 species
UGCCAGCCGCCGCGGUAAGACGAAGGUGGCGAGCGUUAUUCGGAUUUACUGGGCAUAAAGCGCGCGUAGGCGGCUAGGUCAGUCGGAGGUGAAAGCCCGCAGCUCAACUGCGGAAUUGCCCCCGAUACUGCCUGGCUUGAGUGCAGGAGGGGUGACUGGAACUCCAGGUGUAGCGGUGAAAUGCGUAGAUAUCUGGAGGAACACCAGAGGCGAAGGCGGGUCACUGGACUGCAACUGACGCUGAGGUGCGAAAGCUAGGGGAGCGAACAGGAUUAGAUA